GUUGAACGCUAGCGGCAUGCUUAACACAUGCAAGUCGAACGGUAACAGGUCUAGCUUGCUAGAUGCUGACGAAUGGCGGACGGGUGAGUAACGCGUAGGAAUUUACCUUGUAGUGGGGGAUAACCUGGGGAAACUCAGGCUAAUACCGCAUGAGCCCGUGAGGGGAAAGUGGGGGACUGUAAAAGGCCUCAUGCUAUGAGAUGAGCCUGCGUCGGAUUAGCUAGUUGGUAGGGUAAAGGCCUACCGAGGCGAGGAUCCGUAGCUGGUUUGAGAGAACGACCAGCCACACUGGGACUGAGACACGGCCCAGACUCCUACGGGAGGCAGCAGUGGGGAAUAUUGGACAAUGGGGGCAACCCUGAUCCAGCAAUGCCGCGUGUGUGAAGAAGGCCUGCGGGUUGUAAAGCACUUUCGGUGGGGAGGUAGGCUUCAGUAGUAAUAAUGCUGAGGAUUGACGUUACCCACAGAAGAAGCACCGGCUAACUCUGUGCCAGCACG
rnacentral:rRNA from 1 species